UCCGGCCACUGGGGGAACCACUGACCGCGAUGCUGCCGACCACUUCCAAUGGAGCAGGCGCCAUCUUGGAUUUACUAACCUUUGUGUUUUAAAAAUAACUUAUUUCACGUUAUUAGGAGAUUCUCCUCGGUCCGGACAAGCUGUCCAACAUUUUUCUGGAAAAUACUAAACCAGACCAGUUUCAAAGGCGGCAGCUUCUUUUAUCACCAAACUUCAAUCACACUUUGCUGCAGAGUACUGAAGACUAGACCAAUUAUGCGCGCAUGCAAAGCAAACCUGCCCGGAAUAUGGUGCUGCCAGCGUCCACGUAGAACAUGUCUGUCAAACCCCUGGUACGUCUGGAGCAAUGAAUGCAGUCGCAUACGGGCUGGAGCUCUGCCUGGGAGAAGAUUUGUCAUUGCACACAGUAAGCCCAGACCCCGCAAUGGAAUGAUAGAUGGACAUGCAAGAUGACUGAACUGUAUUGAAGAUGAGUGAUAAAUGACUUAAAGUCUUAUUGGACAAAACAGAGUUCACUCUUCGCACCUGAUACAGCCUGGUGGGCAGUUCAUAAUGGUAUCUGCUGUAUAUCUAAUACAGAAGGUGAACAAAGAAUGUCUUCUGUGUGUGUUCUGCUCAUUAUCUCAGAUAUGCACAAUAAAGUACAAGGACAUUUCAGUCUUUAGCUCAUAGGAGAGGAAAUAUAAGCAGAAAAUAUUGUUUGACCAGAGUGAUUUAAUUGAAUUUGAAUUGGAUGUAAUUACCAGCUUCUAUGGCAUGCGAUAUGCUUGUAUUUCACCAGUGGCAAAUAUACACACAGUGUGUUUCUGUGUGAUAAUGAAGCAAUGAAAGGAGCACCAGCAGAAUAGUUGUGAUAACCUACGGUCAAUAAUACCUGCAGACUUUAUCAGGUAUGCAUUUCACAGCUGAUGAUGACUCGAUACGGACUACUUUAAGGCUACAGGAGGGUAUAGACUCACCAGCCACUUUAUUAGGUACACCUAGCUAGUGAAAGCUUUGACCCCCUUUUGCCUUCACAACUGCCUUUAUUCCUCAUAGCAUACUUUCAACAAGGUGUUGGAAACAUUCUUCAGAGAUACUGGUCAUGACAGCAUCACGCAGUUGCUGCAGAUUUGUCGGCUGCACAUCUAUGAUGAUGAUCUCCCGUUCCACCACA